rnacentral:rRNA from 1 species
UGGGGAAUAUUGCACAAUGGGCGAAAGCCUGAUGCAGCGACGCCGCGUGAGGGAUGACGGCCUUCGGGUUGUAAACCUCUUUCACCGGGGAAGAAGCGAAAGUGACGGUACCUGCAGAAGAAGCGCCGGCUCACUAAGUGCCCCCAGCCGCGGUAAUUAA